GGUUAAGCGACUAAGCGUACACGGUGGAUGCCCUGGCAGUCAGAGGCGAUGAAGGACGUGCUAAUCUGCGAAAAGCGUCGGUAAGGUGAUAUGAACCGUUAUAACCGGCGAUGUCCGAAUGGGGAAACCCAGUGCAAUUCGUUGCACUAUCGUUAACUGAAUACAUAGGUUAACGAGGCGAACCGGGGGAACUGAAACAUCUAAGUACCCCGAGGAAAAGAAAUCAACCGAGAUUCCCCCAGUAGCGGCGAGCGAACGGGGAGCAGCCCAGAGUCUGAAUCAGCUUGUGUGUUAGUGGAACGGUCUGGAAAGUCCGACGGUACAGGGUGAUAGUCCCGUACACCAAAAUGCACAGGCUGUGAACUCGAAGAGUAGGGCGGGACACGUGGUAUCCUGUCUGAAUAUGGGGGGACCAUCCUCCAAGGCUAAAUACUCCUGACUGACCGAUAGUGAACCAGUACCGUGAGGGAAAGGCGAAAAGAACCCCGGCGAGGGGAGUGAAAAAGAACCUGAAACCGUGUACGUACAAGCAGUGGGAGCACCUUCGGGUGUGACUGCGUACCUUUUGUAUAAUGGGUCAGCGACUUAUAUUCUGUAGCAAGGUUAACCGUAUAGGGGAGCCGCAGGGAAACCGAGUCUUAACUGGGCGUUAAGUUGCAGGGUAUAGACCCGAAACCCGGUGAUCUAGCCAUGGGCAGGUUGAAGGUUGGGUAACACUAACUGGAGGACCGAACCGACUAAUGUUGAAAAAUUAGCGGAUGACUUGUGGCUGGGGGUGAAAGGCCAAUCAAACCGGGAGAUAGCUGGUUCUCCCCGAAAGCUAUUUAGGUAGCGCCUCGUGAACUCAUCUUCGGGGGUAGAGCACUGUUUCGGCUAGGGGGUCAUCCCGACUUACCAACCCGAUGCAAACUACGAAUACCGAAGAAUGUUAUCACGGGAGACACACGGCGGGUGCUAACGUCCGUCGUGAAGAGGGAAACAACCCAGACCGCCAGCUAAGGUCCCAAAGUCAUGGUUAAGUGGGAAACGAUGUGGGAAGGCACAGACAGCCAGGAUGUUGGCUUAGAAGCAGCCAUCAUUUAAAGAAAGCGUAAUAGCUCACUGGUCGAGUCGGCCUGCGCGGAAGAUGUAACGGGGCUAAACCAUGCACCGAAGCUGCGGCAGCGACACUAUGUGUUGUUGGGUAGGGGAGCGUUCUGUAAGCCUGCGAAGGUGUGCUGUGAGGCAUGCUGGAGGUAUCAGAAGUGCGAAUGCUGACAUAAGUAACGAUAAAGCGGGUGAAAAGCCCGCUCGCCGGAAGACCAAGGGUUCCUGUCCAACGUUAAUCGGGGCAGGGUGAGUCGACCCCUAAGGCGAGGCCGAAAGGCGUAGUCGAUGGGAAACAGGUUAAUAUUCCUGUACUUGGUGUUACUGCGAAGGGGGGACGGAGAAGGCUAUGUUAGCCGGGCGACGGUUGUCCCGGUUUAAGCAUGUAGGCUGGUUGUCCAGGCAAAUCCGGAUAAUCAAGGCUGAGGUGUGAUGACGAGGCACUACGGUGCUGAAGUAACAAAUGCCCUGCUUCCAGGAAAAGCCUCUAAGCAUCAGGUAACAUCAAAUCGUACCCCAAACCGACACAGGUGGUCAGGUAGAGAAUACCAAGGCGCUUGAGAGAACUCGGGUGAAGGAACUAGGCAAAAUGGUGCCGUAACUUCGGGAGAAGGCACGCUGGUGUGUAGGUGAAGUCCCUGCGGAUGGAGCUGAGACCAGUCGAAGAUACCAGCUGGCUGCAACUGUUUAUUAAAAACACAGCACUGUGCAAACACGAAAGUGGACGUAUACGGUGUGACGCCUGCCCGGUGCCGGAAGGUUAAUUGAUGGGGUUAUCCGUAAGGAGAAGCUCUUGAUCGAAGCCCCGGUAAACGGCGGCCGUAACUAUAACGGUCCUAAGGUAGCGAAAUUCCUUGUCGGGUAAGUUCCGACCUGCACGAAUGGCGUAAUGAUGGCCAGGCUGUCUCCACCCGAGACUCAGUGAAAUUGAACUCGCUGUGAAGAUGCAGUGUACCCGCGGCAAGACGGAAAGACCCCGUGAACCUUUACUAUAGCUUGACACUGAACAUUGAGCCUUGAUGUGUAGGAUAGGUGGGAGGCUUUGAAGCGUGGACGCCAGUCUGCGUGGAGCCAACCUUGAAAUACCACCCUUUAAUGUUUGAUGUUCUAACGUUGGCCCCUUACCGGGGUUGCGGACAGUGUCUGGUGGGUAGUUUGACUGGGGCGGUCUCCUCCCAAAGCGUAACGGAGGAGCACGAAGGUUAGCUAAUCCUGGUCGGACAUCAGGAGGUUAGUGCAAUGGCAUAAGCUAGCUUGACUGCGAGCGUGACGGCGCGAGCAGGUGCGAAAGCAGGUCAUAGUGAUCCGGUGGUUCUGAAUGGAAGGGCCAUCGCUCAACGGAUAAAAGGUACUCCGGGGAUAACAGGCUGAUACCGCCCAAGAGUUCAUAUCGACGGCGGUGUUUGGCACCUCGAUGUCGGCUCAUCACAUCCUGGGGCUGAAGUAGGUCCCAAGGGUAUGGCUGUUCGCCAUUUAAAGUGGUACGCGAGCUGGGUUUAGAACGUCGUGAGACAGUUCGGUCCCUAUCUGCCGUGGGCGCUGGAGAAUUGAGGGGGGCUGCUCCUAGUACGAGAGGACCGGAGUGGACGCAUCACUGGUGUUCGGGUUGUCAUGCCAAUGGCACUGCCCGGUAGCUAAAUGCGGAAGAGAUAAGUGCUGAAAGCAUCUAAGCACGAAACUUGCCCCGAGAUGAGUUCUCCCUGAGACUUUAAGUCUCCUGAAGGAACGUUAAAGACGAUGACGUUGAUAGGCCGGGUGUGUAAGCGCAGCGAUGCGUUGAGCUAACCGGUACUAAUGAACCGUGAGGCUUAACCUUAC
rnacentral:rRNA from 1 species